GUCCAGGAGCACGGCGGCCCGCCCGGCUCCGCUCGCGUGGGAGAGGAUGCGCCCCGGGCCGAGGCCCCUCCCCGCGGGGCUGCGGGUUGGAGAAGGCGCUUCCUUAGAGGGGUGUGUUGCGGGAUGGGGGUGUCCUGGCACCGGGCGCCCUUUCCGGCUCCAUGUAGAGCCACACCAUCGCGGCUCUGCACUAGAUUGCGUGCGCAGGAUCUCCUCCCUUCAAGGCAGGUUGAGUCGACAGGGUUCGCUCCCGUCCUGGGAGUCUACUCCUCAUCUUGGACUUCCUUCUUUCUCUGAACACCUACUGUGUACCAGCGUGGCGCUGAGGAAGCAUAUGUGAAGACAGGACAAUGUGUGGAGUGCCUUGGAAGUGUGCGUGACUGUUGCUGCUGACAGCCGAGCGGGGAAAGCCACAUUUUGCUUGGUUUGUGUCAGUAGCAUCAUCUACCAUCCCUGUCAUCUUCCAUGGAAAGUGGAAAGGGGAAGUUAGAUUCCCAAGGAGAAUCCCCGAAAUUAAUCGAACAAUCCUUGUACCAGAACAUUUUAAAUGCAUCAUCUCCUAUCAUUCUCGCAACAGCUCUCUGAGGCCCAUCGCAGCAACAGAUGGAGCAGGCCUGGACCCUGAAAGGUCUGAAGGUUGAGAGGAGGCCAGAGGCUGCUGCCCUCGAAGCAUCCCCUCAUCGCUUCCGUGGCCGCCAGGUGUGUCGCGGGCCAUAGAGGAGCUGCUCCGAAGCCAGCGCGGGCCUGGCAUGGGACCAUCAGCCUGCCCAGGUGGUUAAGCAGAGAAACCUCUUCUCAAACGCCCUCCCUCCAAAGUCCCUGCUGGUGCCCAACAACUCUAAUU
rnacentral:lncRNA from 1 species